rnacentral:rRNA from 1 species
CAGUAGAAUCCAACGUGAUCGUAUACGUAUACGAUCGAUCGUAGUCAUCAGUCGAUGCGUCGAUCAGUUGUCGAAUGUCAGGCUGACUAGAUGACGAGGACUCAGAUGACUCGCUAUGAUCAUCGAGUCACUGUCGACUAGUAGAUGACGAUGAUGCGCUCAUGAUCUAUGAUGUGUGCAUGACGUCUAGUGUGAGUGAUGUCUGUAUCGAUACGACGAGACUGACUGCUAUAGACGGUGACAUUGUGCCAUAUGUCUCUAGAGGACAUCGACGUCUAGUGAUGAGCAACACACUAACAGUCUGUGAUGUCUUAGAUGUCCGGGCUGCACGCGCGCUACACUGACAGAGACAACGAGUGGGGCCCCUUGUCCGAAAUGACUGGGUAAACUUGUGAAACUUUGUCGUGCUGGGGAUGGAGCUUUGUAAUUUUUGCUCUUCAACGAGGAAUUCCUAGUAAGCGCAAGUCAUCAGCUUGCGUUGACUACGUCCCUGCCCUUUGUACACACCGCCCGUCGCUACUACCGAUUGAAUGGCUUAGUGAGGACUUGGGAGAGUACAUCGGGGAGCCAGCAAUGGCACCCUGACGGCUCAAACUCUUACAAACUGGUCAUUUAGAGGAAAUCACUAGUGAAUUC